UGGGGAAUAUUGGGCAAUGGGCGAAAGCCUGACCCAGCAACGCCGCGUGAGGGAAGAAGGUUUUCGGAUUGUAAACCUCUGUCCUUGGGGACGAAGAAAGUGACGGUACCCAAGGAGGAAGCCCCGGCUAACUACGUGCCAGCAGCCGCGGUAAUACGUAGGGGGCGAGCGUUGUCCGGAAUUACUGGGCGUAAAGGGUGCGUAGGCGGUUUCCUAAGUCAGAUGUGAAAUCCCCGGGCUUAACUCGGGUGGUGCAUUUGAAACUGGGAGGCUAGAGUGCAGGAGAGGGAAGCGGAAUUCCUAGUGUAGCGGUGAAAUGCGUAGAUAUUAGGAGGAACACCAGUGGCGAAGGCGGCUUUCUGGACUGUAACUGACGCUGAGGCACGAAAGCGUGGGGAGCAAACA
rnacentral:rRNA from 1 species